rnacentral:misc_RNA from 1 species
CAGAGUUCAUGCCCUAACGGGUAGACCUCCCACCCUUAUACCUACCUUUGUUGCUUUGGCAGGCCGCCUUCGGGCUACCGGCUUCGGCUGGUGCGUGCCUGCCAGAGGACCCCAAACUCUGAAUUUUAAUGUCGUCUGAGUACUAUAUAAUAGUUA